rnacentral:lncRNA from 1 species
CGCAACCACAACCCUCUCCAACUCUGCGACCGAGACCCCAGGAUUGCAAGAGCGGGCCACGCCGCACAGUGCCCACGCCCGCCGGGCGAGUUCCCCCCGCAGGGCCCGCGGCCGAGCCGGGGCGAGUCACCUGGCCGCGCUCAGCCCAGGCCCCACGCGAGCCGGAUGCGCACCGCGUCGCUACCUUGGAGCUACGGGCUGGUCCGGACCCGGCGUCCACUCCGGCUCGGCCGCUGUCUUCAGCACUCCUCUCGCCGCUCCCGCCUGCGCCACCGAGGCUGCUCCGCCGCAGCUUCGUAGUCAGUCAUGCUGAGCGAGGAUGGGAGCGGGCGGGGCGCGCGGCGGUCGCGGGUGGACGGCGGUGUGCGCAGCGGGGCCGCGGGGCGGCUGCAGCGAGCGCCUCCAGGGCAGGCCGCGCUCCGGACGGCAGGAGGCGGCGCCGCGGCCUCGGAGCGGGUGACAGAGUCGGGCCGGGCGGGGGCAGCCCGAGGGCGGCGCCGGCCAACCGCGUCGCUGGCUUCCGCGCACGCAGCCUGGCGCGGCGACACGCGCACACCCGCGGCCGAUCGGGGGAGGGAGCGGAGCCCGCCGAGCGCCAGAUCCCCGCGCGCUGCGAGUCGCCAGGGGGUUUGUUGCAGUGUUCUGCCCAGGUUUUCCAGUGUCAUCCACCCCAGGAUCCUCUUGACAACUCUCUAGCUAACAAGGUAACAAGGAGCGGAGGUAACAAGGAGCGGGCCUCCUUUCCUUUAAACAGGUCACGCCUCCCAGUAACCAUUUGUAGCAGUAGAUUAUAAGAAUAGAAGCCUUGGGAUUGGCUAGGAGUGGACUCUGUGCCUACUCUGGCGGUCCUCAGUAGCAUUCCAGAGUCCAUGACCAUUUGACUGGUGACUCCUUGGAGAACGUGUAUCUCUUUAGAAAUGGUGUUUUUCUUUGUGAUGACUGCUGUCCCAUGAAAGCUGCCUGUGGGUACCUGAGGACAGCAAUAAGCAAGUCAUGCUCAGCAGGACUGGAAGAGAAAUUGGAUCAAGACUUAAAUGGAUGAAGCACACAAUUGACUCGACUGCCAUCCAGCAAGCACCAGAAUUGUAAUAUUAAUGUGGAAGUUAAUUGGGAUAAUCAAGCAGAUAAUAAGGACAGUGGAAAAGAGUAUUUUUUUUCCUAAGCAUAGUUGUCUUAACUAUUGCUGUGUGAAUUCUGGUAUGGUGAAAAGUCAGAGAAAAGGGAAGAGAGAGAGGAAGAGAGAGGAAGAGGUAAUUAUCAUGUUUGAUUAAUUUAGUUUAUUUGAUGACAAUAUUUUUUAAAAAAAAUUACCAAAUUAGUGAGUUACUUUGUUAAUCUGUGUCCAAGAAACUGGACUUUGAGCUUUCUAGUCUAUAUAGUCCUAGACACACUGACAAGCAUCACCUAAAUCAUCCAUAAGAACAGUAUCCUGAUAAAUUUGAAAGUAACCUAAACAUAUGUAUAGAUAUAACUAUAGCAAGAAGAAGAAUAAAACAGCAAUGAGAAUGUAUUUGUACUCCUUGAAUAUAUAAUAAGCAAACAACACUAAUAAACUAGUCUAAGCCACAUUAAACCAGUAUUCUGAGAAGCUGGAAACUGGUUUUACCAUCUGUCAGCUUCUAUACUGGCAGCCUCACAAAUGAGAUUUCUUCUGAACAAAACAUCACAGCAGGAGCCACAGACAUGUGAAUUGUAAUUAAAACGUGAAAACGCAUUUCAUAGCUUUUGUCAUUUAUAGAAAACAUAUUGUAGAAUUUAGUUUAUAAAAUCAUAUCAAAUUUAAGCCAUUUUAAUUUUCCAAACCUAUACAGUGUUUCAUUAAAACUUUGGCCUUUAUGAACAGUGUGUUUUCCUUAGGUCUGGUUGACUCUCUAAUGAGCGUCAGUUAUUUCCUAACCAUUCAGAUACAAAAGAACAAAAGUAUAAAUCUGCUGAGGGAGCAUAAAUGGCACUGCUUUACAUUUAUCUGAUAGCAUUCUCUGUAAUAAAAUCCAUUUUCUAAGAUCAAAAACAAGUAUAUCCCUGGAGAAAUAUAAGCCAAAUCAGAUCUUAAACCUUGCGAUAAAAACUUUUCCUCCCUUUCAUAUCUAAAAGAACAGGAAUAUUCUAGGUUCUUAGCUUUUCCAUACCUGACAAUCCAAAUG